rnacentral:lncRNA from 1 species
UGGGUUGCUUCACUGGUUUUGCUUCUUAGCUCUCCAGUUACGUGUUACAAAUUCCCUAAUUAAUUUCCUCUGCUUAAAAUACCUAGAGAGGAGAGGUUUCUGCUUCCUGGCUGGGUCUUGAUUGAUUCACUGAUCACAGAUAUGGAGUAAGACUUGGACAGUCAGAGCAUAGGUUGUCAACUGUUCCAGAUAUUAACCAAGGUCAAUUGAAGCACUCUCCUCCAAGAAAUUUCAGCAUGGAGAGAAAGAAAGUUUUACUGCCAAUUUGUGCCUGAAACACAAGAUGAACAGACGUCUUCGGCAUUAAAAAAGGACAUAGGCAUGCAUUAAAUCCCUUAUGUCUUA